UGGGGAAUAUUGCACAAUGGGCGCAAGCCUGAUGCAGCCAUGCCGCGUGUGUGAAGAAGGCCUUCGGGUUGUAAAGCACUUUCAGCGGGGAGGAAGGCGUUAAGGUUAAUAACCUUGGCGAUUGACGUUACCCGCAGAAGAAGCACCGGCUAACUCCGUGCCAGCAGCCGCGGUAAUACGGAGGGUGCAAGCGUUAAUCGGAAUCACUGGGCGUAAAGCGCACGCAGGCGGUCUGUCAAGUCGGAUGUGAAAUCCCCGGGCUCAACCUGGGAACUGCAUUCGAAACUGGCAGGCUAGAGUCUUGUAGAGGGGGGUAGAAUUCCAGGUGUAGCGGUGAAAUGCGUAGAGAUCUGGAGGAAUACCGGUGGCGAAGGCGGCCCCCUGGACAAAGACUGACGCUCAGGUGCGAAAGCGUGGGGAGCAAACAGG
rnacentral:rRNA from 1 species